ensembl:lncRNA
ACUGUACGUACUGCAGCUCCUCCUCUAAAGCAUUUCUGUAUUUCUGACCUGCAACAAAGAAAAUUUGACUCUCCUUCCAGUCCAACAUCUUUUCAAAUCACUUUUUUGAUUCCUCGGCUUCACCAGUCUUUCCCCUAAUCCUAUCAAGAGGCCAUUCCCCAAAUUCCACACCAUCUAAAUCCUCUUCAGUCCGGACCACUCGCAUGUAACCACUCGAGGAGGUUUUUGUUUGCUGGAGGCAGAAAUAUUUAUGAUGCAGAGGUGAUGAAGAGGUUUAGUUAUAUGUGAACCAAAGAGAGGGGUUGGAUUCAAACUAUAUUUUGGAAAGCAGCACGUCUGAACAAAGAACAGAAGACCAGGCAAAUCGAGAGUUGUAUAACAGUGUAUUGUGGCAUCCAGUUUAUGUGUGACAGCAAAUUGAUGAAUGCCCCAGUUUAAUAACAGCAGAGCUUUAAUCUGAGCUGAUUAGAGAGCAGAGUGUGCAGCUGCACAAUAGUGGAUUGAUGGGUAGGGCCCGAACUCUUUCUAGGUGUGUUUGAAACGGUUAGAAAACAAAGAAGCGAGCAGUGCUGUUUUCUUUGUAAGGUCGCUCGCUGGAGUUUGACUGAGAGGUUUUAUAAAUUUCUAAAAAAAAAAAUCACAAAAGGGUUACACAACUUCACAACAAAGAAGCAACACUGUACUGCAGCCACCACGAUGCUGCACCUUUUUUCCCACGAAAGGUCAAAUUUUAUAUAUCCCCUGGCUCAUACUUUUAAACAUACACAUUCCCCAUAACGUGACCUUUACGCUUUCUGUGCUGUUGUGCAGUGUCCACCUGUUGCAGCACUGUAAACCCACUGAACCAGCUGCUUUGUCCAAUCCCAGUCUGCAUCAUGUUACCUAUUAUAUGUCCCAGUUCUGUCAUGCAAGAAAAAAAAUCACAAAUAAAGAUUUUUAAAGGAAGACCUUCAGCAUAGUCCUGAUAAUAUUUUUCUGCAUUUAAAUUCCCCUUUUAAAAAGUCAUUUUCUGCUCUUAAAAUAAUUUUUGAGAGAAAAAGAACAAUAUCGCAAGUAACUGAUUCCCUC